CGUGAAAUUGUUGAGAGGGAAGCGCUUGUGACCAGACUUGCGCCAGGUGGAUCAUCCAGCGUUCUCGCUGGUGCACUCUGCCUGGUUCAGGCCAGCAUCGGUUUUCUCAGUGGGAUAAAGGCUUUGGGAAUGUAGCUCUUCCGGGAGUGUUAUAGCCCGUUGCACAAUACCUCUGAGGGGACCGAGGUUCGCGCUCUGCAAGGAUGCUGGCGUAAUGGUCAUCAGCGGCCCGUCUUGAAACACGG
rnacentral:rRNA from 1 species